UGGAUCCAGACUUUGAUCAUGGCUCAGGAUGAACGCUAGCUACAGGCUUAACGCAUGCAAGUCGAGGGGAAACGAUAUUGGAAGCUUGCUUCCGAUAGGCGUCGACCGGCGCACGGGUGAGUAACGCGUAUCCAACCUGCCCAUCACUUGGGAAUAACCUUGCGAAAGUAAGACUAAUGCCCAAUGACAUUUAUAGAAGGCAUCUGAAAUGAAUUAAAGAUUUAUCGGUGAUGGAUGGGGAUGCGUCUGAUUAGCUUGUUGGCGGGGUAACGGCCCACCAAGGCGACGAUCAGUAGGGGUUCUGAGAGGAAGGUCCCCCACAUUGGAACUGAGACACGGUCCAAACUCCUACGGGAGGCAGCAGUGAGGAAUAUUGGUCAAUGGGCGAGAGCCUGAACCAGCCAAGUAGCGUGCAGGAUGACGGCCCUAUGGGUUGUAAACUGCUUUUAUAGGGGAAUAAAGUGAGCCACGUGUGGUUUUUUGCAUGUACCCUAUGAAUAAGGACCGGCUAAUUCCGUGCCAGCAGCCGCGGUAAUACGGAAGGUCCGGGCGUUAUCCGGAUUUAUUGGGUUUAAAGGGAGCGUAGGCCGGAGAUUAAGCGUGUUGUGAAAUGUAGAUGCUCAACAUCUGAACUGCAGCGCGAACUGGUUUCCUUGAGUACGCAUAAAGUGGGCGGAAUUCGUGGUGUAGCGGUGAAAUGCUUAGAUAUCACGAAGAACUCCGAUUGCGAAGGCAGCUCACUGGGGCGCAACUGACGCUGAAGCUCGAAAGCGCGGGUAUCGAACAGGAUUAGAUACCCUGGUAGUCCGCGCGGUAACGAUGGAUGCCCGCUGUUGGGCCAACUGGUUCAGCGGCCAAGCGAAAGCAUUAAGCAUCCCACCUGGGGAGUACGCCGGCAACGGUGCAACUCAAAGGAAUUGACGGA
rnacentral:rRNA from 1 species